AGAGUUUGAUCCUGGCUCAGAUUGAACGCUGGCGGCAUGCUUUACACAUGCAAGUCGAACGGCAGCACGGGGGCGAACCCUCGGUGGCGAGUGGCGAACGGGUGGAGUAAUGCAUCGGAACGUAAUCCUUGGGUGGGGGAGUAACGCAGCGAAAGUUAGUGCUAAUACCGCAUAAGACUCUGAGGAGGAAAGACGGGGGACCGGAAAGGACCUCGCGCUGAAGGAGCGGCCGACUGUCCGAUUAGCUAGUUGGUGAGGUAAA
rnacentral:rRNA from 1 species